GUGGGGAAUAUUGGACAAUGGGCGAAAGCCUGAUCCAGCCAUGCCGCGUGUGUGAAGAAGGUCUUCGGAUUGUAAAGCACUUUAAGUUGGGAGGAAGGGCAGUAAGUUAAUACCUUGCUGUUUUGACGUUACCGACAGAAUAAGCACCGGCUAACUUCGUGCCAGCAGCCGCGGUAAUACAGAGGGUGCAAACGUUGCUCGGAAUUACUGGGCGUAAAGCGCGUGUAGGCUGACAUGCAAGUCGGGUGUGAAAUCCCAGGGCUCAACCUUGGAACUGCACUCGAAACUGCACGUCUUGAGUACUGGAGAGGGAAGCGGAAUUCCGGGUGUAGAGGUGAAAUUCGUAGAUAUCCGGAGGAACACCAGUGGCGAAGGCGGCUUCCUGGACAGUAACUGACGCUGAGACGCGAAAGCGUGGGGAGCAAACAGGAUUAGAUACCCGGGUAGUCC
rnacentral:rRNA from 1 species